GCAUAGCUCAGUUGGAUAGAGCGUCUGACUACGGAUCAGAAGGCCGGGGGUUCGAAUCCUCUUGC
rnacentral:tRNA from 1 species